AGUGGAUGGGGAGCAACCUAGUUGUGCGUGUGUAAAGGUAGUGCCAAGAAAAGCGGUGAUCAUGAUGAAAAUCAAUUCCCGGUACCCGAAACCGACACAGGUGGGCAAGUAGAGAAUACUAAGGGGCGCGAGGUAACUCUCUCCAAGGAACUCGGCAAAAUGACCCCGUAACUUAGGGAGAAGGGGUGCCACCGAGAGGUGGUCGCAGUGAAGAGGCCCAGGCGACUGUUUAGCAAAAACAUAGGUCUCUGCAAACUCGAAAGAGGAGGUAUAGGGGCUGACGCCUGCCCAGUGCCGGAAGGUUAAAGAAGUUGGUCAGUCUUAGGAUAAAGCUAGCGACUGAAGCCCCGGUGAACGGCGGCCGUAACUAUAACGGUCCUAAGGUAGCGAAAUUCCUUGUCGGGUAAGUUCCGACCCGCACGAAAGGCGUAACGAUCUGGGCGCUGUCUCGGAGAGAGGCUCGGCGAAAUAGGAUUGUCUGUGAAGAUACGGACUACCUGCAUUUGGACAGAAAGACCCUAUGAAGCUUUACUAUAGCUUAGAAUUGUGUUCGGGCUUCCUGUGCGCAGGAUAGGUGGGAGGCGUAGAAGGUAUUCUUGUGGGGAUACUGGAGCCAACGGUGAGAUACCACUCUCAGGAGGCUAGAAUUCUAACUUAAUUAAGGACAGUUUCAGGUGGGUAGUUUGACUGGGGCGGUCGCCUCCAAAAAGGUAACGGAGGCGUACAAAGGUUCCCUCAGACUGGUUGGAGAUCAGUCGCAGAGUGCAAAGGCAGAAGGGAGCUUGACUGCGAGAAGUACAGUUCGAGCAGGGUGGAAACACGGUCUUAGUGAUCCGACGGUGCUGUGUGGAAGGGCCGUCGCUCAACGGAUAAAAGUUACUCUAGGAUAACAGGCUGAUCUCCCCCAAGAGUUCACAUCGACGGGGAGGUUUGGCACCUCGAUGUCGGCUCAUCGCAACCUGGGGCGGAAGUACGUCCCAAGGGUUGGGCUGUUCGCCCAUUAAAGCGGUACGUGAGCUGGGUUCAGAACGUCGUGAGACAGUUCGGUCCAUAUCCGAUGUAGGCGUGAGAAUAUUGAGAGGAGCCUUCCUUAGUACGAGAGGACCGGGAAGGACGCACCGCUGGUGUACCUGUUAUGAUGCCAAUUGUAAACGCAGGGUGGCCAAGUGCGGAGAGGAUAACCGCUGAAAGCAUCUAAGUGGGAAGCCCACCUCAAGAUGAGUAUUCUUGUGUAAGGUCACGGGAAGACGACCCGUAAAUAGGCACGAGGUGGAAGUGCAGAGAUGUAUGAAGCCGAAGUGUACUAAUAGACCGUCGGCUUGAGC
rnacentral:rRNA from 1 species